GACCCAGUGUGGUCUAGCGGUUAGAGUGCUGGACUGGGAUUUGGGGGGCCGGGGUUCAAAUCCCCACUCAGCCA